AUUGAACGCUGGCGGCAGGCCUAACACAUGCAAGUCGAGCGGAUGAAGGGAGCUUGCUCCUGGAUUCAGCGGCGGACGGGUGAGUAAUACCUAGGAAUCUACCUGGUAGUGGGGGAUAACGUCCGGAAACGGGCGCUAAUACCGCAUACGUCCUGAGGGAGAAAGUGGGGGAUCUUCGGACCUCACGCUAUCAGAUGAGCCUAGGUCGGAUUAGCUAGUUGGUGGGGUAAAGGCCUACCAAGGCGACGAUCCGUAACUGGUCUGAGAGGAUGAUCAGUCACACUGGAACUGAGACACGGUCCAGACUCCUACGGGAGGCAGCAGUGGGGAAUAUUGGACAAUGGGCGAAAGCCUGAUCCAGCCAUGCCGCGUGUGUGAAGAAGGUCUUCGGAUUGUAAAGCACUUUAAGUUGGGAGGAAGGGCAGUAAGUUAAUACCUUGCUGUUUUGACGUUACCAACAGAAUAAGCACCGGCUAACUUCGUG
rnacentral:rRNA from 1 species